rnacentral:tRNA from 1 species
GCGCCCAUAGCUCAACUGGAUAGAGUACUUGACUACGAAUCAAGCGGUUAGAGGUUCAACUCCUCUUGGGCGCA